UUUGAUCUAAGAUUGCAAUUCUUCCAUGUUUCCGCAGUAGCAUAUUGUUCCAUGGAGCUAGGGUCCAAAAUAGGAAUCAACAAGUGUUUCCACGACUCUACCGCCCGGCCAAUCCUGUUCCACUGAAUCCCCUGA